rnacentral:rRNA from 1 species
CUUGUGACCAGCAUGUGACUUUUAAUGAGAAAGCAGGUAAGCGAGUAGGUGCAUGUCAUGUGACCUAAUUACUGAGGAAGCAAGUAGGCUAGAAGGUGCAAGGCAUGUGAUUGAUCAGAGAUAAUUUUAAGAGUUUUGUCGAUAUUUUUCGAACUGUUUCGACUAAAUAUAUUUCAUCAUUCGAAUCUCGUCCUGCUCUAAAUAAACUCGCCCAGCCUGAAUAAAAAUCGACAAUAAUAAUUAACACUUUCGACCAGAACCAUCAAGAGAUGGUUUUUUCGACCAAAAGACAGCCCGUCGAGAGAUUAAUUCACCGUGUCGAUUUUUAUUUAUAUUCUGAUCGAUCAAUCUUCAAACUGAUCUUAAAGAAUUUUCUUAACCAAAAUUCUAUCUGCUCGUGAGGGUUAUUACAGUGGGGGCAUUAAGUAUUUCAUAGUCAGAGGUGAAAUUCUUGGAUUUAUGAAAAAGGCGAACAACUGAAAAAAAAGCAUUUGCCAAGGAUGUUUUCAUUAAUCAAGAAACGAAAGUUGGGGGCUCAAAGAUGAUCAGAUACCGACCAGGGAUCAACGGAUGCUGCUUUUAGGACUCGCUGGCACCUUAUGAGAAAUCAAAGUUUUUGGGUUCAGGGGGAGGAGUAUGGUCGCAUAAAGGCUGAAACUUAAAGGAAUUGAUGGAACGGCACCACCAGGAGUGGAGCCUGCGGCUUAAUUUGACUCAACACGGGGAAACUUACCAGGUCCAGACAUAGUAAGGAUUGACAGACUGAGAGCUCUUUUUUGAUUCUAUGGGUGGUGGUGCAUGGCCGUUCUUAGUUGGUGGAGCGAUUUGUCUGGUUAAUUCUGUUAACGAAUGAGACCUCAGCCUGCUAACUAGCUACGUGGAGGCAUCCCUUCACGGCCGGCUUCUUAGAGGGACUAUGGCCGUUUAGGCCAAGGAAGUUUGAGGGAAUAACAGGUCUGUGAUGCCCUUAGAUGUUCAACGAGUUCACACCUUGGCCGACAGGCCCGGGUAAUCUUUGAAAUUUCAUCGUGAUGGGGAUAGAUCAUUGCAGUUGUUGGUUUUCAACGAGGAAUUCCUAGUAAGCGCGAGUCAUCAGCUCUCGUUGACUACUUACGUCCAUGCCCUUUGUACACACCGCCCGUUGCUCCUAUAGAUUGAAUGAUCCGGUGAAGUGUUCGGAUCGCUGAGACGUGGGUGGUUUGCCAUCUGCGACGUCGUGAGAAGUCCACUAAACCUUAUCAUUUAGAGGAAGGAGAAGUUGUAACAAGGUUUCCGUAGGUGAACCUGCAGAAG